GGUGCCAAUCUUAAAAAAAACAAAGAAAGAAUCUAGGAAAAAUAAAUUUUAAAAAAUGUAGAAGGAGGGAAAUAAUAAAAGUAAGAGAGAAAAUUAAUACAUCUGAAAAUAGAUGUAUAAUAAAGACGAUCAACAGAGCCAGUGUAGCCUUUUUCUGAUAAACCAUCCUCAAGACUGAUAAGAAAGAAAAAAGGAAAAAAUUCAAAUUACAAAUUAUUAACAUCUAGAAUAAAAAAAAUGCCAUUCCUAUGGAUCCUGCAGGCAUUAAAAAGAUACUAAGAGGGUAUUAUAAACAAUUUUGUGCCAGUAGAUUUGACAUUUUAGAUGAAAUUCCUUGAAAAACAUAAGAUUUUACUUUCUAUUGCUGUGUAACAAAUACUCCCCAAAAUUUGUGACGUAAAACUACAACCAUUUAAUGAUUUUUUCACAGUUCUGGGAGUGGAUUGAGUUUAGUGGGCAUUUCUCGCUGAGGGUCUCUCAUGUGGUUGCAGUCAGAUGGUAGCUGAGGCUGGGGUACUCUGGAGGCUCAGCUGGGACACUGAGACCCCCUCUCCCUCUGCGUGCAAUUCCGGUGCCUCUAACACGGCCUAUAUGGACCCACCAGGAAUGAAGACAGACUUCUUACCUGAUGACUCAGGACUCCAAAGAGGAAAGGAAAAGCUGCAAGACUUCUGUAGACCUAGCCUCAGAGGUUGUGUGGCGUCAUUUCCAUCACAUUCUAAUAGUCAAAUGAGAUCAUCUAAUGUACUGCUUUGGCUGUAAACACGACGCUUGGGAGAACACAGGCCACCAGGAAGACUACAAUGAUGACUAUCAGGAGGAUAAUACCAACAGACAGAAAUAUGCUUCUUAGCCAGGUUCCCCCUGAACCAAACCAGUUGGCAGUUGGCACUAAAUAAAUCAAAGAACGUACCUGAAGAGGCAUCAAUCUCUUUGAGUCAAGUGGCUUGUUUGUUAAUUUCUUGUAUGAAGAGUAACUGCAGUACCAGAAGUAUUGAUCCAGGCACAGUAGGAGCUAUUUCCUAUGGCACAGACUCCUCCUUGCUCAGCACAGAGGUAAUCUAACGCAAUUCUAUUAUCUAACACCAUCUCAUCAGCUCAAAAGAAUCCUUUUGCCAAAGAGGCAUCUUUUGGGGUAGCACAUCCUGCUACCCUUCAAGGUCAUGCUGCCUUGGUUUGUGCUUGUUUUGUUUUGCUUCUCUCAGAUUUUUUUCAUCAGGCUACAGAAAUUUUGAAGAAAAAUAAUGGAAUUUAUAAUUUUUGCAAUAUUAUUAUCACUAAGUGUGGAACCUAAUUACUUUGCUUGCAUUUUUCUUUUAAUUCUCAUAAUAACUCAAUGUGCUAAAAAUUAGCAUCAGUAUUUUCAUAAGAAUCAGGAAAAACUGAGUUAAGAUACCAGUGAAUACAUAUCUAGUAAAUUAUAGAGCCAAGAUGAAGCCCAAGUCUAAUUCAUUUCAACAGCAUUAUUUGCUAGCCUACCACACUGUCAUGGAUAAUUAAGCUUUAUGGCUUGGGAUAGGUUCUGGUAAUCAUUUUAGAAAUAAAUAUCAAGUCAUAGUCUCACAGAUAAAUGAGCAAUAGCUCACCGUGCUUCAAACAUUCUUUCUUCCCAUUUUAAUGCCAUAUCCCACCCACCACCAAUGCUUUACUCAGUAUUUCCCCUCAAGGAUGCAUCUCCAAAUACAAGAAGGUUCCAAGAAUAAGCCAGACUCUUCUCCUGGUAAUGAAACAGGCAUCCAAGACUAUGUUAAUGAAAUAGGUAAUGCCAAUCCUUAGUGUCCAAUCCCAUUCCUCAUUAAGUCUGGAAUGGGUGAUGUUGAUAUAUAAAUCCUGUAAUGUAUAUGGAUCCUGCUCUAUUAUUCUUCUCCCCGUCUUCUCCCUACCAUCUUUCUCACCCAUUAUCAGAUGCUGAACCCUAAUGUUUGAGAUUCACUCUACUGAAGAUCAGGAGAUCUUGUUGACUUGGAGGCUUAAGAACCAAAACCAGAUUCUGAAUCCGUUGCUAAGUUGAAAUCUCCCAACUAAUAAACCCCACUAUAGGAUAUUCCUGAUGAGGACUGGACCACAGCAACCGGAUUGCUUGCAGAUCCUCUGAAUGAAACCAAGCCCUAAGUAACAUGGAUAUUUCUGAUUAAUCACAGAGCUUAUAAGAUACAUUCAACAUUGAGAUAUUUCAGGAUGGAGGGAUCACAUAUAUUCCCCAGCCCCCAUGAAGAACUGGCUCAGACAUGAAAAACUCCUCCUAAGACCCAUCUAGUAGUUUAUUGUAUUCAAAACAAUCACAAUCACAGUUUGAAGAAACUCCAAGCAAUAAGCAUACAGAAGAUUUCCUCAUAGAAUAUUCAAAAGGUUCCAUAGCAGAGGAAGGAUCCUGUGGGGUCUAUUCCAGAGGUAUUACAUGGUGAUAAUAAAAAGAUAGUGGGAAAUGGAGGGAAAACAGAUACAAGAAGGGGCAA